AAAUCGCAGGAAAAAUCUUAUGGCGCGAAAGAUGGCGCGAUUACGAACGCUCGAUUAGGGAAGGUAUACAUACCUGUUCGCUAAGAGAGAAAAAAAACAAUUUAUCGAUUAUUUCGAAAGUUAAUAUUAAUCAAUAAUCGCGUUAUCAUCGUUGAUGAUUUUUAAAUUGUCAACAAGUUAGAUUUUGUUAAUGAUAUAAGAUGAUGAGGAGAGAGAGAGAUAUAUAUAUAGAUAAGAAAAAAAAAUAAGAUUAAAAAGGUAAUCCGUUUCGAAGGGGGAUGUAUGUUUAUUUAAUAAGGAUAGUUCCGUCUGAAAAGUAAAUGGAAUUAGGAAGAAAAUCGUUGGAUAAAAUAUUAUUUUAGCGGGAAAGAAAAUGGUAAGUAGAUAAUGGAAAGGAGUAGGAAGAGGGUCAGACUUGGAAAGGGAUUGUCGUCGUGCAUGGAAAGACGCACGCACGAUAGCGUGCAACCGAGCGAGGCGAGGGACACGGCCAGCUGUUUGUUUUGUUUUCGGGCAUGAGAUUCACGUGACACCACCGGUGCUGGUGGCGGCUCGCGCGGUAGCGCCGUAUCAAAGAACGCGAUUGGGCGAGCCGUUGCAUUCGCGCACCAUUCGGCGAAUCGUAGGGGGCGUUAGAAGGGAGGCCUGCUGCUUCUGCGGUGCAGAAACGUUUGACAUCGAUAAAUGCGUGAGAGUGCUCGCGAAGUGCGGAGGUACCAGGCCGUAAUUCGUUCGUCGGCUCCUCGUCGUCGUCGUCGUCGUCGCCGUGGUUGUGGUCGUGGUCCUCGUUGUCCUCGUUAUCCUCGUCGUUGUAAUCGUCGAGGACUCGUACUGGCAGUAAAUGCGGUGACGAGGGUUCGUGAAAGCAGAAGAAGAAAAAGAAGAGGAGGAGGAGGAGGAGAAGGAAGAAGCGGUGGUGGUAGAGGAAGAAGUGGAGGAGAAGAAGAAGAAGCGGCACAACGGGAAUCGAGAAGAAGAAGAACCACUAUUACGAGGGUUAUAGGAGGAGAGAAAGAGACAGAGAAGGAGAGGACGGUGCAGAAGAGCCAUCAUCGGUGGUGUUGUGUAGUGGCGUGGGUAGUAACCGAAACGAAAGGGUGAAGGAGGAAGAGGAGGAGCAGGAGGAGAGGAGAGGUGUAGCAGCAGCAGCAGCAGCAGCAGGUACUCUGCUGGAGAAGAGUUUUAUAGCGCGCGCACGAAAGAGAACGUGACUUUUGGGAGAAAAGAGGGAAGAACAAGAAGAACAACAAAACGAAAGAGGGAGAGGAAAGAGAAGAGAUAGAAAGAGAGAAGAAGACAAAAGAGUCGUCGAAUCCUAGUCGCGUGGUGAAUUGUGUUGAAUUGUGUUGAACAACGACGUUCGAAAGAACCGCGAAAAUAGAAAGAGGAGGAGGAGGAGUAGGAGGAAGAAGGAAGAGGAGAAGAAGGAGAAGAAGAAGAAGAAGAAUAAUAAUAAGAAGAAACUCUGUAGAUAUAGGAUAAUAUAAGAGGAAAGAAAAGGAUUCGAUGCUCGUGGCGUGAUCGCGAGGAAACGCCAAAGGGGAAUAGAAACAGAUAGAAAGAAAGAGAGAGAAAGAUAGAGAGAGACAGAGACAGAGUGACGGAGAGAUAAAGAAAGAAAGACAGAAGAAGAAGAGAGAGAGAAAAAAAGAAAGAAAGAGAGAGACAGAGAGGGAAAAUAAAAGCGCGCGCUCGUUUGAAAUCGUGGUGGUGCAUUGUGGUUAAGCGA
rnacentral:lncRNA from 1 species